rnacentral:rRNA from 1 species
UAGGGAAUAUUGGACAAUGGGUGCGAGCCUGAUCCAGCAAUGCCGCGUGCAGGAAGAAGGCCUUCGGGUUGUAAACUGCUUUUGUACGGAACGAAACGGUCCGCUUUAAUACAGUGGGCUAAUGACGGUACCGUAAGAAUAAGCACCGGCUAACUACGUGCCAGCAGCCGCGGUAAUACGUAGGGUGCGAGCGUUAAUCGGAAUUACUGGGCGUAAAGCGUGCGCGGGCGGUUAUAUAAGACAGUUGUGAAAUCCCCGGGCUUAACCUGGGAAUUGCAUUUGUGACUGCAUCGCUGGAGUGCGGCAGAGGGGGAUGGAAUUCCGCGUGUAGCAGUGAAAUGCGUAGAUAUGCGGAGGAACACCGAUGGCGAAGGCAAUCCCCUGGGCCUGCACUGACGCUCAUGCACGAAAGCGUGGGGAGCAAACA